rnacentral:lncRNA from 1 species
CAGCUCGUUACAAGACCUGGCUGUGUGAGCCCAAACCUGAUACCAGUGCAUUUUUAUGUUAUUAUUUAACCAUCUCUUGUGAUGCACACUUUUACUGCAGGACAACAGCAGAGGCUUUGGUAAUGUGGGCACAGCUUGGACAUGGAGGCCCCAGCACUAAUGGUCCCAAAUUUCACCUUACAAGGGUUUAACAUAAAUGAAGACAAGCAUUGUUGUGGGAUUUCUCUUGGAAAAUAUUGGUAGUAUACCUCUGAGGAAAACACCUGGAUCACAGGAGGGGAAAAGGUGAGGAGACACUGAGCUGUUCUGCAGCUCAUUUGGAUUGUGUCAGUAGGCAGGAAGGUGAGCCAAUCCAUCAAGGGAUCUCUGGAUUUCUUGGGAUAUGAGGUGAGCAA